rnacentral:rRNA from 1 species
AACGAACGCUGGCGGCAAGCCUAACACAUGCAAGUCGAACGGGUGUAGCAAUACAUCAGUGGCAGACGGGUGAGUAACACGUGGGAACCUUCCUAGGGGUACGGAACAACUCAGGGAAACUUGAGCUAAUACCGUAUACGUCCGUGAGGAGAAAGAUUUAUCGCCCUUAGACGGGCCCGCGUCGGAUUAGCUAGUUGGUGGGGUAACGGCCUACCAAGGCGACGAUCCGUAGCUGAUCUUAGAGGAUGAUCAGCCACACUGGGACUGAGACACGGCCCAGACUCCUACGGGAGGCAGCAGUGGGGAAUCUUGGACAAUGGGCGCAAGCCUGAUCCAGCCAUGCCGCGUGAGUGAAGAAGGUCUUCGGAUUGUAAAGCUCUUUUGCCAGGGACGACAAUGACGGUACCUGGAGAAUAAGCCCCGGCAAACUUCGUGCCAGCCGCCGCGGUAAAAC